UACAGAGGGUGCAAGCGUUGUUCGGAAUUACUGGGCGUAAAGGGCUCGUAGGCGGCCAACUAAGUCAGACGUGAAAUCCCCAGGCUUAACCUGGGAACUGCGUCUGAUACUGGAUGGCUUGAAUUCGGGAGAGGGAUGCAGAAUUCCAGGUGUAGCGGUGAAAUGCGUAGAUAUCUGGAGGAAUACCGGUGGCGAAGGCGGCAUCCUGGACCGACAUUGACGCUGAGGAGCGAAAGCUAGGGGAGCAAACGGG
rnacentral:rRNA from 1 species